AUGCUCCGCGCCGCCAUCUCGCGCCUCGGCGCCCGCCUGCACCGCCAGCCCUCCCCGGCGACCCCUCCCCUCCGCGCCCUCUCCACCGGCCGGGGCAAGCGCUCGUCCCCCACCGCGCCGCCCCCCGAGCCCGAGGACGAGGGCCUCAUGCGCGGCCUCUUCGUGCUCUCCCGCGACCCCGCGCACCCGCCGCGCCUGCUCGUGGUGCAGCCGCGCCUCCGCCGUGGCGCCCUCCUCGACUCCAAGCUCUCCGAGGCGCUCAACCUCGCCAGUUCCCUCGAGGAGUCCCGCGACGGCUUCGAGCACGCCGAGUCCGCCGCCAAGGGCGCGCCGCCGCACCUCGUCGUCCAGAACCCCGCCUCCCGCGGCCGCAACCAUGCCGAUACGUAUUUUGGACCUGGAACUGUGGAUAAUAUCAAGUGUUACCUGAGGGCAUUGGACGAAAAGGAAGAAUUAGAUGCAGUUUUUGUUAAUACGCUCCUCUCUGGGGUCCAACAGAGGAACUUGGAGGUUGCCUGGGGAAAACCAGUUUUAGAUCGUGUGGGCCUUAUAAUUGAGAUAUUCAAUGCUCAUGCUGAAACAAAGGAAGCAAAGCUACAGUCAGAAUUAGCAGCUCUCAUGUACAUGAAGACUAGGCUUGUCCGUGUCCGCGGCCCAGGUGGAAAACUAGCUUUUGGUGCAAGUGGGGAAGCUGAAGUUGUCAGUGCUCGAGGGAGAGGAAGUGGCGGACGGGGUUUCAUGAGUGGAGCUGGUGAAACGGAACUUCAACUACAACGCAGGAGAAUCCAAGAACGUCGUCUAAGCUUGUUAGCUCAAAUUGAAGACGUACGCCGAACUAGGGCGAUACAGCGUUCGAGUCGAAAGAAGCAUGGUGGCUCAUUUGGUCAAGACCUUGUAACUGUGGCAGUCGUCGGAUAUACAAAUGCUGGAAAAUCUACUCUAGUGAAUGCACUUUCUGGAGCUGGUCUAUACAGUGAUGAUAGGUAUGCUGAAAAUUAA
rnacentral:rRNA from 1 species